rnacentral:rRNA from 1 species
GGCAGACGGGUGAGUAACGCGUGGGAACGUGCCCUUCAGUUCGGAAUAACCCAGGGAAACUUGGGCUAAUACCGGAUACGUGCGAGAGCAGAAAGAUUUAUCGCUGAAGGAUCGGCCCGCGUCUGAUUAGCUAGUUGGUGAGGUAAUGGCUCACCAAGGCGACGAUCAGUAGCUGGUCUGAGAGGAUGAUCAGCCACAUUGGGACUGAGACACGGCCCAAACUCCUACGGGAGGCAGCAGUGGGGAAUAUUGGACAAUGGGCGCAAGCCUGAUCCAGCCAUGCCGCGUGAGUGAUGAAGGCCUUAGGGUUGUAAAGCUCUUUCGUCCGGGACGAUAAUGACGGUACCGGAAGAAGAAGCCCCGGCUAACUUCGUGCCAGCCGCCGCGG